UUCACGGAGAGUUUGAUCCUGGCUCAGGACGAACGCUGGCGGCGUGCUUUAUACAUGCAAGUCGAACGAAGAAGCCCCUUCGGG
rnacentral:rRNA from 1 species